CCGGGACCGGGCCGGCCGACGGGUGGGUAACGCGUAUGCAACUUACCUAUCAGGAGGGGGUAACCCGGCGAAAGUCGGACUAAUACCGCAUAAAGCAGGGAUCCCGCAUGGGAAUAUUUGCUAAAGAUUCAUCGCUGAUAGAUAGGCAUGCGUUCCAUUAGGCAGUUGGCGGGGUAACGGCCCACCAAACCGGCGAUGGAUAGGGGUUCUGAGAGGAAGGUCCCCCACAUUGGUACUGAGACACGGACCAA
rnacentral:rRNA from 1 species